CGCGAUACACCGACACAUCACAUCAUUCACAGCCGUACGGCUGCAGUCUGUCUGGACUCCUCACUUACCUUCAGCUCUGUUGAGUGCAGCAGAAGGCGUCUUCAUCUCCUCUUCACACUCCUGAGGCCUUACGGUUACUUUCUGCAAGUUUCUCUCUGGAAAACUUCAGUGUGUGUAGUUUGAAACUAACUGACUGAAUGUGCCACAGACAGUGUUUCUUAUGCUGAGGUGAACGGAGCUUAGAACAUGGAGCUUAGAACAUGGAGCAUAGAACAUGGAACAUGGAGCUUAGAACAUGGAACAUGGAGAAAUGUUCCAUCAUGAUGUCACGUCUCUAUGGUUACAGUGAAGGUAUCUUGAAUAUGGAAAUGAGCCUUUAAAGUAAACGUGUGUGUGGACGGUAUCUUGAAUAUGGAAAUGAGCCUUUAAAGUAAACGUGUGUGUGGACGGUGUAUCUGUAUUGAUGGAGCUCAUCCACUUCACAUGCUGCAUAAAACACUUUGCUCUGUUUGUUUUCUAUGACCCGUUCAUCUUGAUCUUGAAAGCAAACACUUUAAAGAAUAAAUAAAGAACGAUUUUUGAUUUUGGUCCAUUGUUUCAAGUCGGAAAUAUAUAAACUCUUGAAUCCGGGUCGUUAAACCUCCCGUUCGAGCCCUCUUGUCUGCAGUCGUUAUGCUAAGCUAACCAGCUACCGAUGCUAAACCGACACAUUUAAAACAAUACCAGUGUCUGAACCCAUACAUGAAAUUGAACAAUGAACAAUACCCUAAAUAUAGACAAAUAAAAACCACUUGGCUUCAAACUACAGCUUCGAAUUGUUUAACUUCAAACUAUGAACAAUAUAUGAAUUGUUUAAAGUUUACAGUAUUAUUGCAGUGUUUAUCUACCAACAGCCAGAAGAGUAGUUAAUUGGAAUUUGGGGAAUAUUAAUAAUUUAAUUUUAGAUUCAUGCUCAUUGUGCAGGAAGGACAGAUAUGUAACAUAUAUUGAAAAGCAUUUACGUUAGAUUGACCUUGUUUGUCUCAAAG
ensembl:lncRNA